UACAGAGGGUGCAAGCGUUAAUCGGAAUGACUGGGCGUAAAGCGCAUGUAGGUGGUUUAAUAAGUUUGAUGUGAAAGCCCUGGGCUUAACCUGGGAACUGCGUUGAAGACUGUUAGACUUGAGUCGAAGAGAGGGUUGUGGAAUUUCCGGUGUAGCGGUGAAAUGCGUAGAGAUCGGAAAGAACACCAGUGGCGAAGGCGGCAACCUGGCUUCAGACUGACACUGAGGUGCGAAAGCGUGGGGAGCAAAC
rnacentral:rRNA from 1 species